UCAUCAACUGGUUGGAAGAAAGGUAAGUUGUCAACUAGGUGAGUACGGGGCCCCCCACCCGGGGGACUUACUUCAGGUAGGUGGGGAGUAGAUGGGGCCAGGGGAUGGUGACCUCUACUUCUGCAAGAGCUGGAGUUUGGAAUAGGCAGGACUACCCUUUGCCUCUAGCAAAAGGUUCUCUCUCCACGUGAAUGAAAACUCAAAAUAAAAACCACCUUUGUGUACUUCACACUGAACUCCUGGAGCCACUGGUCAGGAAAUUUACCAAGCCUGGGAAGCCCUUCACAGCCCUCAGGUUCUCUUGAUGAGAAGGCAAGCCAUGUGGACAAAGGCUGGUUAAGUGACCUGGGUCCCCACCUGGUCUGGGAGCUGCUGGUGACCCAGUAACCUACUGGCUGUGCUACCCGCUUUUGUAAAAUAUGGGGAUAACCCACCGAAGGAGAAAGCCUGGCAGCCUGACGGGCUUUUCUUGAAACAUGGAAGAUUGGACAAUACCAAGGCCAUGCUACUGAGAAGCUCUCGUGGGUCGUGCUUGUCUGUUUAGAAGGGACACACACACUCCCCUCCCCAGACUCUGCGGCUGCUUUUUGUCUUACAUGUUCUGGCUACUUUAGUCCUGUCCGUGCUCAGGGCCUCCACGGGACUUGGAAAAUCUGUAGUCACCUCCUUGGGGAGCCUAACGGGCAGCGCCUGUGCCCCAUGCCCCCAUUUCUCCAGCCCGUGCUGUCCGUACCUGGUAGGGGUCUGUGUUGAGAUCAAAGUACUCUA